UCCAGUCUUCAGUAUCACAUGAUCCUGUCAUAAAUCAUGCUUAUAUUUCGAUUUGGUGCUCAAGAAACAUUUUAUUUUCAGUACUGAAAAUAGUUUGCUGUUUUAAUGCAUCUUUAUUUCUUCAUAUGUGUAUUUCUAUGUGUAUAUAUUUAAGGAUUUAAAAAAUAUAUAUAUAUAUAUAUUUAUUCAUUUAUUUUUAAAAGAACAGAAUUUACUUGAAACAAAUAUAUAUAUAUAUAUAUAUAUAUAUAUAUAUAUAUAUAUAUAUAUAUAUAUAUACCAGGUUUGUGUAAUAAAAUAAGCUCAAUUAGGGCUUAACUGACAAGCAAUCUGAUCAUGCGUGGCGUGAGAGCGGCAUGGCUUGUCAGACAUAGCAACAAAUAAGGGAGGGCAGGUCUUUGUGAAGGGUCAAUUGGUACUCCAAAUUUUCCCAGUUGCAAUUCUGGGGGAAAAUGGGGUUUAGCUUCAACUUGCAGGCUAAAAACGGCAGCAACAGUAUAAAAAUUGCCCAAUUCUGUGGGAAAAUCACAAAUUUGGCAACAGUUUGUGGGGAACUCAGAAUCUUCGAUGGGUAAAAUUAUAUAGUGGUGAACAAAAACUACAACGACUAUAGUUUUUGCGUUCCCAUUAGCCCUAUUAACAAAUAACAUUUCAAAGGCUUUCCAAAAGAGGAAAAACAUGUCUCUCCAUAUCACCGUAUGCUGUAUAUGCUCUUCUGUGUCAACUGCGCCACAAGGAUGUUCUGUUUCUACAUGUAUUUAGCUUUGAUUUGAAACAAAAACAGCGCAUCCUUGUGGCGUGGAUGACACAGAAGAGCAUACUCAGCAUACGGUGACAUGGAGAGACACAGAGGAGACCGUUGACAAAGGAAUUAUUGAAUAAAGAUGUUAUUUUUCUUUUCUUCGCUUACAUAAAGUGUUCCUGUCGCUUCAUAUAACCCAGAUUGUGUGUCUGAUGGAAGAUGGAGUAUUCUGACGACGACUUUCAUACCUUUCAUGGACCUUGACACUGUUAUUUACUUUGCAGUCUAUGGGACAGUCACAGGCGUCCCAGUUUUCAGUCAAAAUAUCUUAAAUUGUGUUCCGAAGACGAACGGAGCUUUUACAGGUUUGGAACGACAUGGGGGAGUCAACAGCACAUCUGGGCUGCAUAGAAAGAAACGCUCAUCGUACAGCACUAAAGACCUCUGCCUCAGCAUGAUGGGUAUUACUGAAAUGAAAUGCAAUCAAAUUAAAUCACAUCAAAUGUGCUAAUGGGUUGAUAGCAAGAUCUGUGUGUGCCACAGCUUCUAAUAAAAAUGUAAUAAACAUGCAGCAGCUUUGACCUGUUUGAUUAGUCUAAAUAUGCAAUAAAGCAUGUACUUUGACUAUCAGGCACAUUGUAUAAAUUCAAAAUGUGAAAUAAUCAAUAAAUGGUCCCGAUUUUAAUAUUUUCUCUGUGUUUCACUCACAUUUACAGUAGAUUUAGUUUAAAAGUUGCAAAACUGAUUCUCUCCAGUGUUGUCACUUUAAAUAAAUUGAAUGUUUAUUGUAUACAAGAAGCUGUAAGUCAUCAAAUACGCUCUUUGCUUUGGACAGUUUACCUGUAUGAAUUGUAAAUCCAAUAUAAUUUUCAGACAGACCUUUUGCUUGAACGGUCUUAUAUCGCACACCUUUACUCAGCCAAUAUGCUAUACACUUGAACCAGAAAAAGAGAGGAAUUAUCAGACAUGGAAGAGGGUUUAGAUUAGUCCAUAAGGAGAUUCAUUUGCAUAAGCACACACACGGACUCAGCUGCUUUACUGGAACUGGCUUUGCAUGAAUAAAUGGCUGCUAUAAGAGGAGGUUAAGAAGUAUCGGAUUUGUAACUUUAUCAAAGUUCAUGCAAAAUCCCCCAAAUGCAAAUCAUUGGUCUCGUGUCGUGUCAGUUAUUUUAAUGUCGAAUAUACAUUUAAAAGCACACUAGCUUUUAAUCAACAUUCAUUAAAUCUGAUGCUCUCAAAUAAAAUAACGUUAAAUUUAACAUCAUUGCUGCCAACAUUCUUAGCUAAACAUUUUAAUAUUAAAAUUUGAAAUGUUUUUUUUUUCUUUUUUUUUUAAUAAAAUAAAAUAAAAUAGGUAAAACUCAGUCUAUAUGGGAGUAAAUGUCACUCACCUGUGCAGGAUAUAUAUGUUGUCUCUAAGACACUCCUGCAGUAUUUCACACAUGUGUGUGGCAAUUAGAGCAAAUAUAACCUCUGACAGCUCAGAAAUUGAAGAAGUUGCCCCAGGGUAUGUACAAUAUUAUCUAAAUUCCCUUUGGUGCCACCAGCAUAUAAUAUAUAUACUUCAUUUCACAAGGCAUUAAAACGUUUUCCUAAGAGAAUGGUAAUGACCUCACACACUGUGCUCUUCUAACCCUGCAGCGAGAUCGCAGAACAGAAUACUACAAGUUACUGUCUGUUAAGUAUGUAAUGAACUAUAUCACAUUAUACUGUGUUCAUAUGGCCCAUUUCUUGUCAUUGCUUUGACUUUUCCAGAUUUAUUAUUUAUUAUUUUUUUAAAUAUAGAUGGCUAAAAAUGGAAACAUUCAACAAUUCAGGUGAGACUAAGCUGUGCAUGUAUCAUUCAUAAGCAAUUCAUAGAAAUAUGAUUUGAAUGUGUUCAAGAGAGCAGUUUCCAUGCCACUGAAACCCUUUACAGUUUUUCAUUUCAACAGAAUGGCCUCAAAUUAGUUUGAUAGUGCUUUUUAUGAGGUCAGUAUGGAAAUAAUAACCGUAGCUUUGGCACAGGGAUCUAGAUGGGUAUAAGAGAGAAGAAAAUUUUGAGAUAACAUUACUCUUUUUAGAUUAAAAAGUAAAUUAAUAUAAAUUAAAUAUUUGAACUAUUAUAUUUUAAUUGAUUUUUAGUUCUAUUUAAAGACAAUUUUGCUGACAC
ensembl:lncRNA